CUACGACAACUUGUACCUGUCAUAGCACAGUACUAAGUGAGUUGUGACCAUCUCACCUUCUUGGUGACGUAAUACUGAUUGCAAUUACUCUCUCACUAGUGUCUGUCCUCUAUCAAUUACCUAGUUUACUUUAUAUCAACCAGUGUGACUAUGAUUUCAUAACCAUAUUAGUUUUUUGAAGUAAACUGGUUUUCUGUAAACCAGACAGUAUUUCAGUCAAUUUUUCCGUUACCAAGCUGAGCGAAUUCGUGGAUUGUUAUACCUCAUUUAGUAGUGUACGAUGAUUAGCUUAAAAGUUGUAAUGGAAGGUAAGUAAUUACAUUACAAUAGGGGUAUGUUCGCUUGUUUACGUAUUGGUUAAUGUAAACUCGUCCCUGAUAGACGAUGAUUUGUACCGUAACUGGUUGCAUAAUUCAUUAAUAAUCGAACAGACCCGAUAGGUUUUAACCUGCAUGAUUGACCUAAUAGACGUUUUCGAUUGUUCGCAGAGCAAGAAGAAAUUGAGUACUCUUCCCUGCUGAGAUCUGGCUCAAGUCAUCCCUCAAUACUGCUGAAUACGGUCCCGAAAACGAGGUACCUCCAACUUGCCAUGCCUGUUUUCCAGAAGUCAGGAAAUGUCAACAUUCGUGGGUAGCAGAGUGCGUCAUCCAGUGUAUGUCUCUUCUAAAGCGAGCUUAAAUUAAAGGAUUCCAGAAGAGCACCCUUAUAAAGGUAG